rnacentral:rRNA from 1 species
UCUAAGUACAGAGACUCUUCAAGUCUAAAACNNNNNAUGGCUCAUUAUAACAGCUAUGAUUUGAGAGAUGUAAACUUUAUUGCCAUAAGAUAACUGUGGUAAUUCUAGAGCUAAUAUUUACAAGUAUGCCAUGACUCACGAAGCGGCGGAUUUAUUAGAUCAAAAUCAACCUGUUGCAAGACGGUUAAUUGAUGAAUCUGGAUAACUUUACUGAUCGCAUAACCUUGUGUUGGCGACGAUUCUCUUGAAAUGGCUGACCUAUCAACUUUCGAUGGUAUGAUCAAAGCUUACCAUGGUUGUAACGGGUAACGGGGAAUCAGUGUUCGAUUCCGGAGAGGGAGCCUGAGAAACGGCUACCACAUCCACGGAAGGCAGCAGGCGCGCAAAUUACCCAAUACCGGCUCGGUGAGGUAGUGACAAAAAAUAACAAUAUGGGCCCUAGUGGUUUCAUAAUUGCAAUGAGAACAUUUUAAAUACUUUAUCAAGUAUCAAUUGGAGGGCAAGUCUGGUGCCAGCAGCCGCGGUAAUUCCAGCUCCAAUAGCGUAUAUUAAAGUUGUUGCAGUUAAAAAGCUCGUAGUUGAAAUUGAGGACCCAAGAUGGUUUGAAAUCUAUGAUUGAUAGCUAUCUUGUCCUUCGACGUCGUGUAUAUUGUUGAUGCUCUUUAAUGGGUGUUGACGAUGACCGACAAGUUUACUUUGAAAAAAUUAGAGUGCUUAAAGCAGGCUUUUGCUUGUAUAUUGUUGCAUGGAAUAAUGAAAUAGGACUUCGGUUUUAUUUUGUUGGUUUUCGAAACUGAAGUAAUGAUUAAAAGAGACUGCCGGGGGCAUAUGUAUGCUGGUGCUAGAGGUGAAAUUCUUAGAUCAUCAGCAGACAAACUACUGCGAAAGCAUUUGCCAAGAAUGUUUUCAUUAAUCAAGAACGAAAGUCAGAGGAUCGAAGACGAUCAGAUACCGUCCUAGUUCUGACCAUAAACUAUGCCAACUGACAGUUCGCAAAGGUAAUUCAAAUCUCCUUGCGAGAAGUCACCGGGAAACCUAAGUCUAUGGGUUCCGGGGGAGGUAUGGUUGCAAAGCUGAAACUUAAAGGAAUUGACGGAAGGGCACCACCAGGAGUGGAGCCUGCGGCUUAAUUUGACUCAACACGGGAAAUCUCACCCGGUCCGGACACUGUGAGGAUUGACAGAUUGAUAGCUCUUUCUUGAUUCGGUGGGUGGUGGUGCAUGGCCGUUCUUAGUUGGUGGAGCGAUUUGUCUGGUUAAUUCCGUUAACGAACGAGACUCUAACCUGCUAAAUAGUACAAUUGUGUUAAAUCGCAAUUGCUGACUUCUUAG